rnacentral:lncRNA from 1 species
UAAGAAUAUCUGAGGCGUCGCCACCGAACAAACCGGAGGAGAUUGAAUCACCGAAACCUCCACCGAAUAUAUCGAGCUCGUCGUCGGAGCUGUCAUUGCUGUUGCCGUGAAAGCAAUUGCAGCGGUUCCGUCCACAUUUCGGCGGAGGUUGCUUCUCGUUGCUUUCUUCGAUGAAAUUCUGAACCAUCUUCGCCAAGCAGACCGAACUUGGCUUGAACUCAGGCCGCGGCGCUGACGGUCCCUUCAUCCUUGCUGAUAUUGAGGCCGCAGGAGUGGCGAGUUGUGAUGUGGACUCAGGCCUCUUGGCCUCUGGGUUUUACGGAGAAGGGGAAGACGGUGAGGGUUGAGAGAGAUGCAGAGUCUGAAAGAGAGUGAAAGAGAAAGGGUUAUAAGAGAGGUUGGGUGUGACAGAGACGAUUGAAGCAAAACGCACGAUGAUAAACGCGUGUGCUCGGUUCAGAAUGGCAAGCCCGUAAAUACCCAAUGACAGAUUUGUAAAUAAAAUGAAAUUCACUUCAAAAUACUGUUCAUUUUAAUAGUGCCAAUUGAAAACCUUACUUUAGACUAAAGUAACUAGAAAUUAUGCAUGCGCGUUGCUACUAGAAUCAGCUGUUUCAAACGUAAUUGGAUGGACAUAACACAUUUAAGUUGAAUAAAUUCAAAACAAUUACGAACAAACAGAAGGAUACAUGAGUGCAUGAGACCGGUAAGAUCAGUAGUUUCGUUUUUGUACACUUGUAAGUGAGUUGACAUAUAAACACAUUGCACAAUGAGUGAGAAUAAACUAUACGUGUUUGAAACUUCAUUUUAAACUAACAUUCACACAAUCCUAAUCAUUUGUGAAUUACCAUAUUCUUAUCAUUAUUCCAAUAUCUCUUCAUGUAGAUGGGGUGAGCUCAUACCAGUCAUUAAGGGCAUGUUUGAUACUCUACUUGAAUUCAACUUUUUAAAUUAAAAAAAAAAAAAUUCAAAUUUUAAGCCUUAAAAACUUGUUUGGUAAGAUUAUUUUCAAAAAUUGAACUUAAGAUUAACUCAAAACUAUAGUUUACUCUCUAAAAACACAAAAAGUAAAUUUUUAGAAUUUUUAAACUUAAACUCACUCAUUUCUUUUCUCUCCCUCCUCUCACUCCAAAUCUAUCUCUCUUUUCUUCUUUCUAUGUCCCCCUUCUUUUUUUUUUUUUACCUUUUUCGUCCCUCCUCCAAUCCGCUCUCUUUAUUAUCUCGAUUCUUUCUUUCACUUCUCUUCCUCCCUAUCUCCUCCGAUCCUCUCUUCUUUCUCUUUCCUUUAAUCACGUCUUAUUUUCUUUCCUCCUCUUUCCUCUUUCUCCCUCGACCCCCUCUUUUUGGAUCUCUUUGUCCAGUUUAAGUUGUAAGAUUUAAAAAUUUUAAAUCACAUACCAAACAAGUUUUGUAGUCUUAAAUAAAAUUAUUUUCAAGAAAAAUUCCUAAGAAAUGUUUUGAGAAAUGAUAAAAAAUUUCAAAUAGGAUAUCAAACAAGCAUUAAAAUUGCUAAUGUAUUUAGUGAUUAUACAGAGCAACUUAACUAUAGAAACGCUCCUCAAAUCACUCUAUACGUUUCCAUUUUGCUUUUCAAAUUAGCAUGUUUAUGUAUUGACAUUAGAAACAGCGGAAAAUACUUUUUACAUUCACCUCUUUCAGACCCUGCGUAAAGCGGGAGCCUUGUGCACUGAGUACGACCUUUAUGCAUUGACAUUAGAGAAAACGAGAAUGCUGAUGAAAAUUGGAUUAUUAGAGGUUAAACGGCAGCGAACCAUUCGGUGUUGAUAAUGAAUACGAAGAUGUGCGAUUUCACGUGAAUGCUGCUUGGAAGGCUAUGAAGUUUCUUGCACUGCUUUAGACUCAAACUCUCAAGGUUUUCAAGAGAUGAAAUUGAUGGGCAAAGGUCUUCAACAGAUAUCUCAUCCAAGCGAAGCUCUCUUAAUCCUUCCAGAUCUCCGACAUUUCCUGGAAAGCCCUUGAGCUUUGGACAACCAGAAAGAUUAAGAAAUUGCAGGGACUUGAGUUGAACAAAGCUGUUUGGAAGAAUCUCAAGUUCUCUGCAAUAUUCAAGAUUCAAAGUAACAAGCCCUGUAAGAUUGUUAAUUGAUCGAGGCAGUUCUUUUAUUGCAGUCCCUUGAAAAUAAAGCUUUGAAAGCUUCUCCAUAACUUCUGAAAUCUCUGGAAACUUCCCAAGUAUUGAACAAAAAGAGAGAUCAAGGGUUUCAAGAGAUUUCAUACUAAUGUUGCUUGAAAAGGUCUUGAGUUUGCCGCACCAACUUAGAUCCAAGAGGACAAGUUUUUCAAGGGCAGAAAUGGAUGGGUGAACCUCAUACAAACUUGUGCAUCUACCAAGAAUUAGCUUCUCAAGAUUCUUUGCCUCAGUGAAGUCAGGUGUUUCCUUAAGACGAUGAGAGCCUUUUAAAUUGAUAAUUUUCAACUUUCCCAGAGGCUGUCAAUAUACAAGGAAAAUAUGUGUUACCCACAUAAUAAGGCAAUUAAAAACUAAAGCAUUUAAAAGCAGUAUAUAGGCAAAUGAUGAAUGUACCUUAGUUCCUUUCCAGAGGUGUUCGACCCAACUAUGUUGCAUGUCAAUUUCAACAAGAUUCUCGGGGUUAAAAUUGGACGAUAAAGACUUUAGGGGACAAUUGUGCCAGAACAGAUAACUUAGUUUUUCAGAGAAACUUUAGAUCCUUGUAUUUCCAUUGACCAUAUGGCAUGUUCAGUGGUAGAAUAUUGUGGGUAUGGACUCUGAGUAGCCUUAGUUUUGUCAUUUUAAGAAAAGCGGUAUCUAAUUCCACCACAUUGUCUGAGUGUGGCCAAUGCACAAUUAUGCUUUCAACUGCUUCAGUAGCCUGGAUUACCAAAAUUGCACAUUGAAUGAGUACAAACUUAAGAUUAUAACGCCUAAUGCACAUGUUUCUCAUGAAUUGGAUUUUGGUCAAAGUUGAAGCUUUAUACUUUUUCUUAUUAGUAUUUUUUGAAUUUACUAAUAUUAAUGGGAGAAAGAAGAUUCGAAGCAAUUACAUUAAUGGAGGGGAGGGGAGGGGAGUGCAUUUCUCACCGUUUUUUUAGUUAACACAUGACGGACAUCUUCAUCGCUCCACAACCUACUGCAACUCCCAGGCUCUUCUAUAGAUUUCUCGCGUACGAUUUCGCGACCCAUUUCCUCUAGUAAAUCAUGCAUCUCGAGUACACCAUCAGAUGAGAUAGUGACAAGAGCUCUACCAACUAGAACGUCUAAUCCGGUAUGGGGAUGGAAGCCACAACCCUCCAUAAUCCUUGUUGCAAAGUCUUUCUUCAUUUGUUUAAAGAAACAUGCAAUAUCAAGAAAUAUUUCCUUCUGAUAUCUAUCUAGUCCAUCAAAGCUUGUUCUAAGCAUUUCCUGGAUUCCCGGGUUCGGAUUUCUGGCUAUUUUCUUUAACUCAUCUGUCCACGCACGUUCACUUUUGUUUUCGAGAAAUGCUCCCAAGACUUUGAGUGCUAAAGGCAAACCUUGAGCAUAUUUUGUGAAAUGGCCUGACAGAUCAAUGUAUUCUUCUGUGGGUUGCUUUCUACUAAAAGCAUACUGCAUAAACAGCUUGAGAGCAUCAUUGUUGUUUAAAAACUCGGGCUCAUAUAUCUCAUCACCAAGUCUGCUUAGUGACUGUUUAUCUCUAGUUGUUAUAAUGAUUCGACUUCCGCCACCAAAUGAAGGUUGCUUUCCAAUUAAGGCUUCAAUUUGGGAUGAACUCUCCACAUUAUCCACAACAACAACAACAACAACAAAGCCUUUUCCCACUAAGUGGGGUCGGCUAUAUGAAUCCUAGAACGCCAUUGCGCUCGGUUUUGUGUCAUGUCAUCCGUUAGAUCCAAGUACUCUAAGUCUUUUCUUAGAGUCUCUUCCAAAGUUUUCCUAGGUCUUCCUCUACCCCUUCGGCCCUGAACCUCUGUCCCGUAGUCACAUCUUCAAACCGGAGCGUCAGUCAGCCUUCUUUGCACAUGUCCAAAUCACCGGAGCCGAUUUUCUCUCAUCUUUCCUACAAUUUCGGCUACUCCUACUUUACCUCGGAUAUCCUCAUUCCCAAUCUUAUCCUUUCUCGUGUGCCCACACAUCCCACGAAGCAUCCUCAUCUCCGCUACACCCAUUUUGUGUGUACGUGUUGAUGCUUCACCGCCCAACAUUCUGUGCCAUACAACAUCGCUGGCCUUAUUGCCAUCCUAUAAAAUUUUCCCUUGAGCUUCAGUGGCCUACGACGGUCACACAACACGCCGGAUGCGCUCUUACACUUCAUCCAUCCAGCUCGUAUUCUAUGGUUGAGAUUUCCAUCUAAUUCUCCGUUCUCUUGCAAGAUAGAUCCUAGGUAGCGAAAACGGUCGCUUUUUGUGAUCUUCGCUAGAUUGCUCCGGUCAUUAGUGUGGAUAAGUAUAUAUAAAUGGAUAGAGAUAGGAAAGCAAACACAAGAUGUACGUGGUUCACCCAGAUUGGCUACGUCCACGGAAUAGAAGAGUUCUCAUUAAUUGUGAAGGGUUUACACAAGUACAUAGGUUCAAGCUCUCCUUUAGUGAGUACAAGUGAAUGAUUUAGUACAAAUGACAUUAGGAAAUAUUGUGGGGGAGAAUGAUCUCGUAAUCACGAAACUUCUAAGUAUCGGAGUGUGGUGUCGUCUUGACUUGCCUUAUCUGUCUCAUAGGUAGAUGUGGCAUCUUCUCUGGAAGUACUUUUUCCUCCAUCCAGGGGUGGUAUCUUUAACUGGUGGAGAUGCACAAGGUAAUGUAUCAAUUUCACUUGAAGCUUACUUGUAGUUUCAGGCUUGGUCAAGCGCGAUACAAACCAUGUAGUAGGAGUCCCCCAAGUCGCCGAGCUAGGGGGUCUGCUGAAAGAGGUGACAGACAAGGUAAGCAAUCAGAGCUCCGACUGAUUGUUCACCUUCUCCCCAUCUUGCAGCAGCAUGAAGGAUAAAGAGAAGAAAAAUGAGAAGAGAUGAUAUGAGAUACUUUUGCUUUUGAAGAAGUAACUUUUCCACAGGCUUAUUCUUGAACUGAGCUGGAGGGUUUUCUGGUUUCCUCCAGAGUAUAAGGCCGACUGAAGAAUUUGAGGGUCAAAACAAGUCCAUCAAAUCUAGAGUACGUUCCACCCUGCUGAUAUGGGAUACUUUUGCUUUUGACAGAGUAAUGGAUGUAUCGGCACGUGUGCUGUUACGCUUGUCUCCACAUGCUUCCUUGUAUCCUUCGCACUUGCCCUAUCUGUUCCUCAAGCAGAUGCGGAAUCUUCCCUGGAAACAUAAGAUGUUGAAGAUGAGUACUCGAGAGCAAUGCCAGGUAAGUAAUCAGGUAAGGGGUUCCAGGCAGUCAGUUCCUGGCUGGAAGCUUGAUUCCAAGUGCUGACUGAUUGCUCUCUUUCUCCUUGUCUUGCAGGUAAAAACAAGGCCAAAGGAAAAGACAGGGAAAAAGCAUGAUAUGGGAUACUCUUGCUUUUAACCCUGAUGAUAUGAGAUAUUCUUGCUCUAGUAUAGCUUGUUUGCAGAGGUAUUAUCGGGGGGAAAGAAAGCUGAAUAUUUCGAAAGGCUUCGUUGGGAGUGCCCUCUCAGAUAUGAUGAAGGGUUGAGCAUUUUUGCAGGUCUGCCUGUCCGUUGGGGAUGGAGGUCGACAUAUAUAGGAGUCUCCCUAACAACAAGUAGUAAUGCUAUUCCUUUACCCUGCUUGGUCAUAGCACGGUAGUGGGAGCUGCCAGUUUCACAUGUUUUAACUCUGUCAGAGCACUUUGAAAAAGUGGUCUGUGGUAUCUGGCUCUCGAGAUUCGGAGAACGAUGCCUCUUCGAUUUUUGAGAAAGCAAUCAUGCUGGGGGUCUGGCUCUCGAGAUUCGGAGAGCAGUGUCUCUUCGAUUUUUGAGGAAGUAAUCAUGUUGGGAGUCUGGCUCUCGAGAUUCGGAGGGCGGUGCCUCUUCGAUUUUGGAGCAAGCAAUCUUGUUGGGAGUGUUGUCUCGAAUGUGAGUAAAGGUUGGGCAUGUUUGCUAGUCUACCUUGCCACGAAGCACAAAGGUUGACACACAGGGACUUUCCAAUUAUCCAGCAAUGGUACUGUUCCUUUACCCUCUCUUCGAUUUUGAGAAAGUAGUCAUGUUGGGAGUCUGGCUCUCGAGAUUCGGAGGACGGUGCCUCUUCGAUUUUGGAGCAAGCAAUCUUGUUGGGAGUGUUUUCUCGAAUGUGAGUAAAGGUUGGGCAUGUUUGCUAGUCUACCUUGCCACGAAGCACAGAGGUUGACACACAGGGACUUUCCAAUUAUCCAGCAGUGGUACUGUUCCUUUACCCUUGUGGGUAAUAAUAUGGUAGCUAGACCUUCAAAAUUUAUGUGUCUAAACUUUGUUAGUGCUGUUUCUUUGCUAUUCUUUUACCUUUCUUGGUCAGAGCGAUGUAGUGGGAGCUGCAAGCUUCACGUGCUCAACUUUGGCAGAGAACUUUGGCAAAGUUAUCUGUGGUACCCAUGAGCUAUUGUUGCGUGUGGGAAGUGGGUGAUUGAACAGUAAGAUUCAUGUGCUUUCUACUUCACCAGAAGUCUUCGACAGAAUGCCCAUAAUUUCUGCAAAGCUGAGUGUGCGUGUGACAGGUGCUGACAAGGCUAGAAAAGUAGGUGCCUCUUCGAUUUCUGAGAUCGGCCCUCGUGGUCUCUGAGCAGCCCAGCUUUUGAGAAAGCGAGCGCCUCUUCGAUUGAUUCGGAGAACGAUGCCUCAUCGAUUUUUGAGAAAGCAAUCAUGCUGGGGGUCUGGCUCUCGAAGAUUCGGGGAGCAGUGUCUCUUCGAUUUUUGAGAAAGUAAUCAUGUUGGGAGUCUGGCUCUCGAGAUUCGGAGGGCGGUGCCUCUUCGAUUUUGGAGCAAGCAAUCUUGUUGGGAGUGUUUUUCUCGAAUGUGAGUAAAGGUUGGGCAUGUUUGCUAGUCUACCUUGCCACGAAGCACAGAGGUUGACACACAGGGACUUUCCAAUUAUCCAGCAAUGGUACUGUUCCUUUACCCUCUCUCUUCGAUUUUUAAGAAAGUAGUCAUGUUGGGAGUCUGGCUCUCGAGAUUCGGAGGACGGUGCCUCUUCGAUUUUGGAGCAAGCAAUCUUAUUGGGAGUGUUUUCUCGAAUGUGAGUAAAGGUUGGGCAUGUUUGCUAGUCUACCUUGCCACGAAGCACAGAGGUUGACACACAGGGACUUUCCAAUUAUCCAGCAGUGGUACUGUUCCUUUACCCUUGUGGGUAAUAAUAUGGUAGCUAGACCUUCAAAAUUUAUGGGUCUAAACUUUGUUAGUGCUGUUUCUUUGCUAUUCUUUUACCCUUCUUGGUCAGAGCGAUGUAGUGGGAGCUGCAAGCUUCACGUGCUCAACUUUGGCAGAGAACUUUGGCAAAGUUAUCUGUGGUACCCAUGAGCUAUUGUUGCGUGUGGGAAGUGGGUGAUUGAACAGUAAGAUUCAUGUGUUUUCUACUUCCCCAGAAGUCUUCGACAGAAUGCCCAUAAUUUCCGCAAAGCUGAGUGUGCGUGUGACAGGUGCUGACAAGGCUGGAAAAGUAGGUGCCUCUUCGAUUUCUGAGAUCGGCCCUCGUGGUCUCUGGGGAGCCCAGCUUUUGAGAAAGCGAGCGCCUCUUCGAUUUCUGAGAUCGGCCUUCGUGGUCUUUGAGCAGCCCAACUUUUGAGAAAGCAAACGCCUCUUCGAUUUCUGAGAUCAACCCUCGUGAUCUCUAAGCAGCCCAGCUUUUGAGAAAGCAAACGCCUCUUCGAUUUCUGAGCAGGCGCCUCUUCGAUUUCUGAAGCUCCGUCGAGUGCAGAUUUUUAUAUAGGGGCUGGCAUUAAGUUCCAAAGCACACUUGAAUCUCCACCAGUAGAAGCUUCAUUCUUGCACUUCUAAGAUCUUGAUUUGUCCGACCUCUUCUCUCUUCAACACCUUUGAAAAUGUCUGGCCCCUCCGACCGUCGUUUUGACUUGAACCUUGUUGAAGAGGCAGCCCCGCCUUCUCCAGACAACAUAUGGCGCCCAUCCUUCGUCUCCCCUACUGGUCCUCUUACCGUUGGGGAUUCCGUGAUGAAGAAUGAUAUGACCGCUGCGGUGGUGGCCAGGAACCUUCUCACUCCCAAAGAUAACAGACUACUUUCCAAACGGUCUGAUGAGUUAGCUGUUAAGGAUUCGCUGGCUCUCAGUGUUCAGUGUGCAGGUUCUGUGUCUAAUAUGGCCCAACGCCUAUUUGCUCGAACCCGCCAAGUUGAAUCAUUGGCGGCUGAAGUGAUGAGUCUCAAACAGGAGAUUAGAGGGCUCAAGCAUGAGAAUAAACAGUUGCACCGGCUCGCACAUGACUAUGCUACAAACAUGAAGAGGAAGCUUGACCAGAUGAAGGAAACUGAUGGUCAGGUUUUACUUGAUCAUCAGAGAUUUGUGGGUUUGUUCCAAAGGCAUUUAUUGCCUUCGUCUUCUGGGGCUGUACCGCGUAAUGAAGCUCCAAAUGAUCAACCUCUGAUGCCUCCUCCUUCUAGGGUUCUGUCCAGUACUGAGGCUCCAAAUGAUCCCCCUCCGGUGCCUUCUCUUUCUGGGGCUCUACCGACUGCUGAGACUUCUCCUAAGCAACCUUUGUGAAGGCUCCCUCUUGUGUGUUUAUUUUGACUCAUGUAUAUGUACAUAUUUGUAGCUUAUCGGGGAUAUCAAUAAAUAAGCUUUCCUUCAUUUCAACGUAUUGUGUUAAAUACACCAAAGCCUUCUUCGCUAAGUUCUUUGAAUUUUCUUUUGUUGAAGCUUGUAUGUUGAAGCUUUCUGAGUGGAGCAUGUAGGUUGGGGUAGUGUUCCCUUAAUUUCCCGAGUGAGGAAAACUUCUCGGUUGGAGACUUGGAAAAUCCAAGUCACUGAGUGGGAUCGGCUAUAUGAAUCUUAGAACGCCAUUGUGCUCGAUCCUGUGUCAUGUCCUUCGUUAGAUCCAAGUACUCUAAGUCUUUUCUUAGAGUCUCUUCCAAAGUUUUCCUAGGUCUUCCUCUACCCCUUCGGCCCUGAACCUCUGUCCCAUAGUCGCAUCUUCUAAUCGGAGCGUCAGUAGGCCUUCUUUGCACAUGUCCAAACCACCGUAACCGAUUUUCUCUCAUCUUUCCUUCAAUUUCGGCUACUCCUACUUUACCCCGGAUAUCCUCAUUCCUAAUCUUAUCCUUUCUCGUGUGCCCACACAUCCAACGAAGCAUCCUCAUCUCCGCUACACCCAUUUUGUGUACGUGUUGAUGUUUCACCGCCCAACAUUCUGUGCCAUACAGCAUCGCCGGCCUUAUUGCCGUCCUAUAAAAUUUUCCCUUGAGCUUCAGUGGCAUACGGCGGUCACACAACACGCCGGAUGCACUCUUCCACUUCAUCCAUCCAGCUUGUAUUCUAUGGUUGAGAUCUCCAUCUAAUUCUCCGUUCUUUUGCAAGAUAGAUCCUAGGUAACGAAAACGGUCGCUCUUUGGCAUUUCUUGAUCUCCGAUCCUCACCCCUAACUCGUUUUGGCCUCCAUUUGCACUGAACUUGCACUCCAUAUAUUCUGUCUUUGAUCGGCUUAGGCGAAGACCUUUAGAUUCCAACACUUCUCUCCAAAGGUUAAGCUUUGCAUUUACCCCUUCCUGAGUUUCAUCUAUCAACACUAUAUCGUCUGCGAAAAACAUACACCAAGGAAUAUCAUCUUGAAUAUGGGGUAUGGGCGGUAUAAACUAUUUUAAAAUGUAAAAUAUAAAAUAUAAAAUUAAUAAAUAAUAAUUAAUAAAAAUUGACUGUAUUAUGUACGAUGAAUAAUUACGAUCACGGAAUCCCUAGGAUCCCAAAAGAAAAAUUCGGUGAGAAUCCUUUUCCAGAAUUUUUAAUCCAACCGUUUCUUGUGUUAAAUUUAUCCCAAAAAUUAGUUUUGACCAAAAAUUGAUUUUUAGUCCAAGGGUUGGAGCAAAUUGAGAGAGUUAAAAAACUAAAAUUUAAGCUAAAGUCCAAAGAUUUGAGUUAGUCUAACAAAUACAAAUGAGAGAAAGUAACAUUCAUAUUUUAUUGCGGCUUUUAAUUUUUAUUUAAAAUGGUAUCUAAACUUGGUAUAAUUACUUACUUUUAAAAUUGAUAAAAAUGGUCUUUGAGAUUGUCUACCAUCAAUCAUUUUGGUCAUUCUGUGAAAAAUCUUAAUUAAAUUAGAGGUAUUUUUAUCAAUACCUUUGAAUUGAUGAUUUCUUCAAUUUAAUGAAAUAUUUUCACAAAUCAUGGUGCAUAUUAUUGGUGGUCCUAAGCUCCUUUAUAUGUGUAGCGUAUGCUUAUGUCAUGAUCUUUCUGCUUCUACUAAAUAUCAGAUGAUUUUGUUUUUACUAUUUGUUUUACUUUGUACAUGGGGUGGCUUUUAGGUUCCCCUGUUGUCUUACUUGCUAUGUUAUUUCCUCAACAAGGUUUGCUUUUAUGUUUCCCUCAUUUGUAAAUUUCCUUUUUUUUUGUUUUUACUUUAAUAUGAUAAUGGGAUGCUCGGUGAGCACUAUUACCCCAUGAUUUUCACGCAUGCACACAAAAAAAAAAAAAUUUAUCGUCACAACUAGCAUAUUUAUCAAAAUACUCGAAAAGUUAGAGUUUCUAGUCACAACUAACAUUGCCAUAUAGUCAAAAUGCUCAAAGUAUAGAAAAGAAAUAUAAAGAAGAUAUCAAGUUAGAUCAGUUACAUAGAGAGAGUCAUUCCCAUGGGAUUGCAUGAUUUCUCUAUCAUUGCAAUGUAUUUUUCAUAAAACUUCCUUUUCAUGAUUAGGGACUACGAUCCUUGGUGCUAUAAAUUCAGCAGUUGACUCAAGCACAGAAGUUAUCUACAGUGAGAAUCCUGAUGGUAAUUUUGUAAAGUCAAACAACUUUGCAUAUGCCAUUGUUGUGGUUGGCGAGUACCCUAUGCUGGGACUGCGGGAGACAGCCCAAACCUUACGAUGGCGGAACCUGGCCCAAGUGUCAUCAGCAAUGUGUGUGAAAGUGUAAUGUGCAUUGUUACCAUAAUAACUGGAAAACCUAUUGUAAUAGAACCAUACUAGAAAUUACGCCCGUUGUUGCGGAAACCAACUGUUACAGGCGUAAUCGAAUUAAUAAAACACAUUUAAGUUGAAUAAGAAUGUCCCCAUGAUUAGUCUUCUCGUUUAUUUUUCACAAACCAAUCACAUAUUAAAAAUCCAAGUACGAAAGCUUUGCAAAGAUAAAUAAAAAAUUUAUAUAACUAAUUAGACUUUGAACAUGCAAUCAAGGCACAUACUCGUAUACCUAAAAAUAGCAAGGAACCGGCUUCUUCCUCCCACAACCAGAGUUCCUGAAAUUUCCAAAGAAAGUAAAUCCGUUAGCAAUUCAGAGAAAUUGGAAGACCAAAUCGUAUUACAUUUGAGUUAAAUGAGCAAAGGUAAACCAAUUAAAUGAGAUACUAAACACAUUUCGAAUCUAUGAAAUAGAAGAAUAAUCAUGUUAGGACUCCCAAGAUGGUGUCCUAAGCACAAAAUUAUAGGUUAAGAAAGGUAAAUCCCAAUCCAAAGCUCCAACCUUUUAACUGAAAAUGAAACAAAAAAGCAUGGAUCAUAUAUUUCAGUUUUAUUAUUAGAUUUUCUAAAUCCCCAAUUUGAAUGUGUUGUAAAGACCUGCUAAAGAUAAUACCACCAACUAAGGGUGGCAAUCUGACCAGCGUUGUGCAUGUCAUGUCGACUCUAUGCAACUUAAUAUAUAACAUUUAAGCAGCAUUAGACGGUCUCCUAAGCAUCUACAAACCAUUUAACAUUAUUUCCCCAAUUUUAUUUCCCAAUUUUAUCAAAUGCUGCAUAAACGAUCACAAUUUACUCCCUUACAAUUUCCACCUAACUCCGAACAAACAAUAUUGAUAAAUCUUUAUCAUCACCUUUAACGAAACAGAUUACAGCGAAAAGAAAAAAAAAGUUACUAUGAAAUCAAAUUCUUCUAGAUGUCCAACCUAACCCAUCUAUGGGAAGGCAAGCAAUCGGACGUGCAUUUAGACCAAGCAAAAUAAAUUUUACAAUUUAUCAAAACAGCAACUGAUUCUCCCAAAGAGAACACAACAUACCAACAUAUUAUUCACCAUAUUCUAAGCUUUCAUUUUCGUUCUAUCUCUUUCGUUAUCUAAACUUAUAGUUAUCAAAACAGCAAUAAAAUCAUAGACAAACCUUCAAUCAUUUAUCAAAACUGAAUUAAUUAAACUUCUGCUCCGCAGUCCGUUAAUUUUAAUUGCAACUCUCAUUCUAAAAAUUUAAAAUUUUGCAUUGAAUAAUCAAACGCACUUGCACGUUACAUUCCUUUUAUUGGUUCUUGACAUAAUACAUUUUAGGAUUGAUGUAAUAAUAUCACUACAAACAUGAAUUGCGAUAGAUAUAGAAACCAAACUUGCACACAAAUGUUUGACUGAAUUCAGAACCACUUAAUUCAACAUAAAAAAUUACCUCACAUGCUUGCUCCCCUUCUGCUCUCGCAUCGUCGGCUCCGCUACUAAACGAUUAAUGAAGUCCCAAAGCAAAAACAGAACAAAAAACAUUUACCAAUCCAACAUUUCAACACAUGGUUUUGGCAGGUAUAACAUUUCAACAUAAGCAUGAUAUAGAAAGAAAGAAAUCCACAUGUCACUUUGUUUUUUCAGAAUCAACAAAAAGGGCAACUAGAAGAGAAUGUAACCAAUUUUAAAGAGUAAAUCAGUCUCCCAAUAAAGGAGAACAAUGCUGGCGGUAGACCAAGAGUAAGUACAACCCGACUGCAGCAACAAAAACACAAUUGACUUUCACACUACAGAAAUAAAUAAUAAAAAAACACAUACCUGCACCCAAUGCAUUGUUUUUUUUUUCCUCUGCAGUAUAAGAAUAAAAAAGAAUAACAUUCCCCUGAAACCAAAUUCAUCCCCCAAUUUCUUGCAACAAAGAGGGAGACCAACCUUGUGUUCUUGGAGAACAGUAUAACAAUUAGACACAAUCAGACUAAUCCAAGUUCCCACUAUGAUAAUGAAAAAUUAAAAUUAAUAAAAUAGCUCAAAUCAUAUCACAGUAUGUCACAAAGUACACCAUUUGAUAACCAAUAAAUUUAACAAAAAUAGAUUCAAUAGUCUAUAUCAAUUAAUCAAUAGUCUAAAGUAUGAAAAAAAUUGAUUUCAAAGCCUUCCUUAGGAACUUCACAACGUAUCAACAGACAUUAUGAUAUCGAUGAUGGUAUCCAUGAAACCCCAAGCUGCAAGCAAAUACUGCCUUUGGAAAUUUUCAAUAUAAAUGGUUUUGCAAACCAGCCACUAAUGAAACAUCUAAUUUCAAACAAAUAAUAAAAGCUUUCUUUAACUGACACAUUAUCCUUCUUCUUUCCUCCCAUUUACUUCCCACCCUCCCUAUUAAUCCCUCCAUUUUGAAACUCCUAUAUUCUUCCUAUUCUGUACAAAACCUGCCAAAUCAUUUCCUCACUUCUCAAAACCCAAAUAAUCACUUAAAAUGCACAAAAUUACAAUUAAAUCAAUAUUACAUUACACAAAAUGACAUUCAAAACCACAAUACACUAAAACCAAGCGUGAAUUCUACACCCUCAAUAAGUGGAAGCAUUCGUACCUCAAAUGAAUUUGCAACUUAAUUUUUUGCUGAAAAACCUUGACCUACAAAACCAAAUUACAUUUAGGGUAAAUUACAAAAAAUUAUCUCAACUAUUGGUGGCACGACACUUUCAUACCUCAUCUUUUAAAAUUGACAAUGUCAUACCUCAUUUUACGAAUUUAUGCCAACGUUAUACCUUCCGUUAGCUUGGCAUAAAUUUCUCAGUUAAAUGUUGAUGUGGCUUGAUCUGGGGCCCAUUUUCUGUUAAAAAAAUUAUUAAAAACUAAAAAAAAUCAUUUAAUUUUUUUUAAAUAUUAAAAUAAUAAAGAAAAGUUAUAUAAAAUAAAAAAAUAAAAAAACCAACCAACACCCAGUUCGUCCCCUUCCCCCCCCUUUCUCUCUCCUCCCCAUCUUCAUCUUCUUCCCCCUUCUUGCAACUGCAACCCAGAAAAAAGAAGAGAAAAAAAAAACCAAUUUGUCUUCCCCACACCCACUCUCCGCACCCAUCUUCAUCUUCUUCCCCCUUCCAAUUGCAACCCAGAAAAAAAAAAAAAAAAAAAAAAAACCAAUUUGUCAAUUUUUUUUUUCUUCCUCCUUUCUGGGUUGCAGGAAGAUGGGGAAGAGAGAAGGGGGAGGGACAAACUGACCUAAGGUUUUAUUUUAUUUUAUUUUUAUUUACUUUUCUUUAUUAUUUUAAUAUUUAAAAAAUACUAAAUAAUUUUUUAAUAGAAAGUGGGCCCCGAUUCAAGCCACGUUAGCAUUUAACUGAAAAAUUCAUGGUCAAGUAACGGAAGGUAUAACAUUGGCACAAAUUCGUAAGAUGAGGUAUGACAUUAUCAAUUUUAAAAGAUGAGAUAUGAAAGUGUCGUGACACCAAUAGUUGAGUUAGUUUUUUGUAAUUUACCCUUACAUUUAUCAACAAAAAGGAAUCAAUGUAAGAAAGCAAACACAAUACAGAAAAAAUGGCCAUUCAAGUCAGCUCUAUUUAGAUUAUAAUAACUCUCAAUUUAAGAAAGCAAAUGCAAUACAGAAAGCAAAUAUAAUCCAAAUUACCUUGAACACCACCAUCAUAUUUUUACUCCGUUACGUAUACAUGUCCUUUUCUUUCUAGAUAAACUUUAUUUCUUUGAAGUUUCUGCAGGGUGCAUUCCAAUUUAACCCUUUAAAUGUUUGUAUAAAACUUAGGGUGCGAUGGCAAGUGCCUUCGCCCAUAAACGGUAGAUCUCGGGUUCGAGACUUGGGAGCAGCCUCUCCAUAAAUGGGGAUAAGGCUAGCCGACAUUCACCUCUCUCAGACCCUGCGUAAAGCGGGAGCCUUGUGCACUGGGUACGACCUUUAUAUUCUCGCCUGCUUGCAAGUCAACUAAGUCAACUAUUCAACCUUCACAUAUUGUUUAUUAGUUUUCUUGAUACUAAUGUAUGGAAAGGGCUUAAAUCCUUCAAUGUAUGGAAAGGGCUUAAAUCCUUCAAUUAUGGAUAUACUAAUGUAUAAUCCUUUGUUCUAGACCAAUUUUGUUCUUAGUUCUUAGUUUUCUUGAUACAAACUUUUUUUUUUGUAUUAAUAUAAAUUUGUUUGCACCAAGGGAUGGGGUGGGAACAUAUCUUGAAAUAUGGCCACGUCCACAUUUGCAGCUGAAGAACACUUCAAUAUAAGUUUAAUUUGGUGCAACUUUAGGUUUAAUUUGGGUAUGUUCCACCACUUAAAAUUUGCAAUACUAAUUUUGAACAAUGAAUAAGAAAAUUCUACCAAGAGAGAGUAAAAUAGUAAAUCAACUUAAUUUCUGUAAAAAAAAAAAAAAAAACUUGCAAAAAUUUCAUGAAAUUUUGGUAAAAACGGAAAAGAAAAGGGUUAAGACAAUCAAGACUAAUGGAAAAUUUGAUAUUGUUUUAACAUUAACUUAGGUUGAUUUUGUUCACCAGCAUUAAUAAAACGAAUGACUUUAACUUGGGCAAGCAAACAAUUAAAUUAGACGUAAGCCAAGUAACUUAGAAGUUAACCAUAUGAAAAAAGGAAAACUAAUGAAAAAAGCUUGAAAACUUUGAGUUUUAAUGAUAAGGACAAAAUAAAGGGUAAAGUGAAUAGUACCAUGAUUGACUUUUUAGUGUAAAAAUGUGGUUUUUCGUUAAAGUGAAUAGUACCGAGUGCUUUUCGUUAAAGUUCCCUAUGAAAAAAAGCAAUGACAAUCAAACUGACCUCUUCUUUCAUAUGAAGUAUAAUCUGUUCUCUAUUUUGCCUUUGUGAAGAAUGCACUUUUCACUUCCUACACACAAAAUAGCAUACAUUGAAAAUGCUCCGUAGCAUUAUAAAAACUAUAGAUAUACAGUACUGUAUAUGUAUCAUAUACUAUAUUGUGUACGUAGUUGGACAUAAGGUAUAAAGAUUUACUAACAUAAUUAAGCUUAAAUUUAACAAAAGAAGUAAUUACAAAUUGAAAUCAAACGAUAUUCUAGUUAUUCAAAAAAAUUCUGGCUAAAUUUUACAAAUAGUAUUAUAAAUUGUUAAAAAAAAUAACACAAUUGAAAAAACUCACCACUCAAAUCUGCAAUUCUAUUAAAAACACAUCACUAAAAAUUAACUCCAACAAAAGGGGAUUAACAAAUUAUACCUUUUUAAGAGUUGGAAUUGUUUAUCUAUAUCUUGAGCUGGACCCGCUGGAUUUGAAUCCUCAGUUGACUUAGAGGGAGGAUAGGCAUGAAAAGAAGUGUAAGGUUCACUGGAUCAUAUUUUUAAGAGAUAGAGAGAGUUCUACUUUUCAACAGCGGAGAGAACAUAUUCAAUCUUGGGCAUAAAAAGAAAAAAUAGAAGCUUCAUAGCACAAUAAUUAACCACAAUCCUCUGUUUUUCUAAAUGCAAAUAGAAAAAAGGAAUCAAAAUAUUCAACACAAAAUCUUCACAUUAGCUCAAGAACUAUAUUAUUUCCAGUGCUUUCCAAUUUUCCAGCACGGAACAACAAACAUAAAAGCAUUAAAAAUAUAUAAUUGCAAAAAAAAAAAAUAGCAAUUCCAAGAAACUAAAUGCGAAGUUAGCCAGAUCUGCACAGUAACACAAACCCAUUACUUGAAUUAAGAGCAUUGUGGCUCACCCUGAAAACACCCAUUUUGCAAUGAGGAAGAGAGACACUGCUGCUCUGGCUGCUGAGUGCUGCUGGCUCCAAAGCAGUUUGUCUACCAGAACUUUAUAAGAGCAAGUCCAACCCUUCAAAGCCACUGUAAAUCGCCAAGGAUUUACAUCAUUCUGCUUGCCUAAAAAAAGCAAACAAAAAAGAAAAAAAUGGAAAGUAUAAAAUUCAAAUGACCCUUGAUGAACAUAACCCAUAAAUUUUCCUUGUAUUCCAUAAAUGCAAUAAAACAAAAGUCAGUGUCUCCAUUUUCCAAAAAACCAAGCAAGCAAGCAACAAAUUUCGAAAACCCUAAUUCUAACCAAUUUAGAACUAUAACCAAGUAAACCACUUAAUCAACAAAACUCACUAAUUUUCUCAAAAACCCAACAAAUUUAAAGGAUAUCCAGAUGAUAAAUCCCAGUAAAAUCCCAAAUUUGAAAACCAGAAGAAAAAAAAAGACAAAGAGGCUUAUCUUUCUUCACUAAUCGGGCACUAACAGAAAAACCUUAAUUCAUAUUAUUCAGAUUACAAAUACACAGGGACCAAAUAGCUAAUAAUGCUGGACAAUUUGUCCCCAAUCCAACACAAAAAUUGUUCUUGUUAUACAUACGAUACCCGCCUAAAAUAUCAACCAAUUCCAAAUUAAAAUGGAAAAUGAAACGGAGCAUCAUAAAUUGAAUACAAUUUGGAGAAAAUUAUCUCACUUGGGGCGCCGAAUCUCCAAGAGGUCCCAAUCCGAGCAGGCUCCAAAUUGGGUUGUUGAAAAUGGUGAUCAAGGAAGGGUUUUGGAGGUGGGUCUGAUCAGAACAAAGCCGAAGCCAUUAGGUUUGGGGGGAGAGGAACAAAGAGCCACUGAGAGAGAGAGAGAGAGAGAGAGAGAGCAUGCGUUGUCCUUUUCUUCUAUCCGGCCACUGGAUCGCAGUUCCUUCACAAAAAUUAUACACGUGUGUUACUUUUUCAAGUUCUAGUUUUGUAAUCACCUAAUCGAUCAUAACACCAUUCGCAAAUAUGACAAACAUAAACAAUUAAGUCAGCAACAUGAUAUGCCAUUCCUUUCAUAUUGCACAUAUAAAGAAAAAAGAAAUGAACCAAAAUAAAAUUAUACUAUAAUCCAAUUAUAUGAAGGCCAAACUUGAGUUGGGGCUGGUGGCCGUUGACCACAUCAUCGCCUCCAUUUGAGAGAAAAGGGUUUGUUUGGCUUUUUUGUCCAAUUAUUUACACUAACCAUAUAUAAAUGAAGAAGGACAACAUCUAUGUUGCUCCCUUCUUGUGAUCCAAAUUUGAAGAGGGCCGAUGGGGAGGGGCAGUUAUAAGUGUCAUCCUCUUUGUUUCUCCUAUCCCUGCAUUAUCAACCAAAAAAACAUCAAACCAAGUGCAAUACAAUCCAAUUUAAUGCUCACAAAAUUUGAGCUCCAAACAAGGUCACAGGUCAGCAAUCGCCUAAUCGAUCAUAACACCAUUCGCAAACAUAAACAAUUAAGUCAGCAACUUGAUAUGCCAUCCCUUUCAUACAAACACAGAUUGCAAUUCAUAUAUGCCGCAUUAUUUACAAACAAUUACAAAUCAAGAAACAAUUAAAUCAUCAUCAUGAAUUAUAGUGUAAUAACAGCAUCAUCAAUUAGAAGAGACAGAGCUACAUGGCAAUAAACAUAUAGAGAGUAAACAUACAGAGAGGAACUGCUUCAUAUCCUUCCCAAAAGCAAUCUUCCGCAGGAUAACAAAAGAGCGGUUGAUCUCUGAUCUAAUUGCAGACGCAAUCUGCAGAACCGACUUCUAUGGAAUUUUAACUUGUGAAAUGUGGGGUGGAGAUUUGAAUGUAACAAAUUGGUGUUAAGUGAAUAAUUCCAAACAUAUGAAAUUUAGAUAAUCACAUCCGAACGCAAACAGAAGAAUUAAAUAAAGAAUCAAAGGCAUAUGCAAUCUAAUUAGACAAAUAAGUGAACUUUCCCAUGCCAAAAUCCGAAAGGCCAACAGAUAUCUCUCAUUACAGGACUUAAUACAUAUCUUAAAAGACAAAACUUAAAAUAACAAAAAUUAGGUGAAACAAUUGAAGAGAACAUAAUCCUUGUAACCAAUCCGGAAAAGAUGCUUUUAAAUCCCAGAAAACAAAUUAUGAGAAGUUUUUAAAAAAACCAUCAUUUCAAUUAUUUUCCAGUCUUACAUUUGGGAAUAAACAGAAAAUAUAACUAAAAUGCCAACUUUCUCAAAAAACUACAACUACUUUAACAAAUUUCCAUCACUCAACACUGAAAAAUGAGAAUCACGAAGCAACGAAGAACGGAACACGCUAGAAAUAACAACAAAGCCUUUUCCCACUAAGUGAGGUCGGCUAUAUGAAUCCUAGAACGCCAUUGCGCUCGGUUUUGUGUCAUGUCCUCCGUUAGAUCCAAGUACUCUAAGUCUUUUCUUAGGGUCUCUUCCAAAGUUUUCCUAGGUCUUCCUCUACCCCUUCGGCCCCGAACCUGUCUCGUAGUCACAUCUUCGAACCGGAGCGUCAGUAGGCAUUCUUUGCGCAUGUCCAAACAACCGUAACCGAUUUUCUCUCAUAUUUCCUUCAACUUCGGCUAUUCCUACUUUACCUCGGAUAUCCUCAUUCCCAAUCUUAUCAUUUCUCGUGUGCCCACACAUCCCACGAAGCAUCAUUAUCUCCGCUACACCCAUUUUGUGUACGUGUUGAUGCUUCACCGCCCAACAUUCUGUGCCAUACAACAUCGCUGGCCUUAUUACCGUCCUAUAAAAUUUUCCCUUGAGCUUCAGUGACCUAUGACGGUCACACAACACGCCGGAUGCACUCUUACACUUCAUCCAUCCAUCUUGUAUUCUAUGGUUGAGAUCUCCAUCUAAUUCUCCGUUCUCUUGCAAGAUAGAUCCUAGGUAGCGAAAACGGUCGCUUUUUGUGAUCUUCGCUAGAUUGCUCCGGUCAUUAGUGUGGAUAAGUAUAUAAAUGGAUAGAGAUAGGAAAGCAAACACCAGAUGUACGUGGUUCACCCAUAUUGGCUACGUCCACGGAAUAGAGGAUUUCUCAUUAAUUGUGAAGGGUUUACACAAGUACAUAGGUUCAAGCUCUCCUUUAGUGAGUACAAGUGAAUGAUUUAGUACAAAUGACAUUAAGAAAUAUUGUGGGAGAAUGAUCUCGUAAUCACGAAACUUCUAAGUACCGGCGUGUGGUAUCGUCUUGACUUGCCUUAUCUGUCUCGUAGGUAGAUGUUGCAUCUUCUCUGGAAGUACUCUUCCAUCCAGGGGUGGUAUCUUUAACUAGUGGAGAUGCACAAGGUAAUGUAUUAAUUUCACUUGAAGCUUACUUGUAGUUUCAGGCUUGGUCAAGCGCAAUACAAACCAUGUAGUAGGAGUCCCCCAAGUCGCCGAGCUAGGGGAUCUGCUGAAAGAGGUGACAGAUAAGGUAAGCAAUCAGAGCUCCAAGCAAUCAGUCCUAGAUCAGAACUUUGAUUUCGAGUUCCGGCUGAUUGUUCACAUUCUCCCUAUCUUGCAGGCAGCAUGAAGGAUAAAGAGAAGAAAAAUGAGAAGAGAUGAUAUGGGAUACUUUUGCUUUUGAAGAAGUAACUUUCCACAGGCUUAUUCUUGAACUGGGCUGGAGGGUUUUCUAGUUUCCUCCAGAGUAUAAGGCCGACUGAAGAAUUUGAGGGUCAAAACAAGUCCAUCAAAUCUAUAGUACGUUCGACCCUGCUGAUAUAGGAUACUUUUGCUUUUGACAGAGUAGUGGAUGUAUCGGCACGUGUGCUGUUACGCUUGUCUCCACAUGCUUCCUUGUAUCCUUCUCACUUGCCUUAUCUGUUCCUCAGGCAGAUGCGGUAUCUUCCCUGGAAGCAUAAAAUGUUGAAGAUGAGUACUCGAGAGCAAUGCCAGGUAAGUAAUCAAGUAAGGGGUUCCAGGCAGUCAGUUCAUGACUGGAAGCUUGAUUCCAAGUGCUGAUUGAUUGCUCUCUUUCUCCUUGUCUUGCAGGUAAGAACAAGGCCAAAGGAAAAGACAGGGAAAAAGCAUGAUAUGUGAUACUCUUGCUUUUAACCCUGAUGAUAUGAGAUAUUCUUGCUCUAGUAUAGCUUGUUUGCAGAGGUAUUAUCAGGGGGAAAGAAAGCUGAAUAUUUCGAAAGGCUUCUUUGGGAGUGGCUCUCAGAUAUGACGAAGGGUUGAACAUUUUUGCAGGUCUGCCUGUCCGUUGAGGAUGGAGGUCGACAUAUAUAGGAGUCUCCCUAACAACAAGUAGUAAUGCUAUUCCUUUACCCUGCUUGGUCAUAGCACGGUAAUGGGAGCUGCCAGCUUCACAUGUUUUAACUCUGUCAGAGCACUUUGAAAAAGUGAUCUGUGGUAUCUGGAAAGCUGAUGUUGCGUGUGAAGAUUACAGACAAGCUUUAUCCAAGGAGAUCCAGCUCUUGAAGUUGGGAAAGUGGUGCCUCUUCGGUUUUCGAACAAGUAAUCCUGUCGGAGAUCUGGCUCUCGAGAUUCGGAGAACGAUGCCUUUUCGAUUUUUGAGAAAGCAAUUCUGUUAGGGGUUUGGCUCUCGAGAUUCGGAGAGCGGUGUCUCUUCGAUUUUUGAGAAAGUAAUCAUGUUGGGAGUCUGGCUCUCGAGAUUCGGAGGGCGGUGCCUCUUCGAUUUUGGAGCAAGCAAUCUUGUUGGGAGGGUUUUCUCGAAUGUGAGAAAAGGUUGGGCAUGUUUGCUAGUCUACCUUGCCACGAAGCACAGAGGUUGACACAUAGGGACUUUCCAAUUAUCCAGCAGUGGUACUGUUCCUUUACCCAUGUGGGUAAUAAUAUGGUAACUAGACCUUCAAAAUUUAUGUGUCUAAACUUUGUUAGUGCUGUUUCUUUGCUAUUCUUUUACCCUUCUUGGUCAGAGCGAUGUAGUAGGAGCUGCAAGCUUCACGUGUCUCAACUUUGUCAGAGAACUUUGGCAAAGUUAUCUGUGGUACCCAUGAGCUAAUGUUGCGUGUGGAAAGUGGGUGAUUGAACAGUAAGAUUCAUGUGCUUUCUACUUCACCAGAAAUCUUCGACAUAAUGCCCAUAAUUUCCGCAAAGCUGAGUGUGCGUGUGACAGGUGCUGACAAGGUUGGAAAAGUAGGUGCCUCUUCGAUUUCUGAGAUCGGCCCUCGUGGUCUCUGAGCAGCCCAGCUUUUGAGAAAGCAAGCCUCUUCGAUUUCUGAGAUCGGCCUUCGUGGUAUUUGAGCAGCCCAACUUUUGAGAAAGUAAACGUCUCGUGGUCUCUGAGCAGCCCAGCUUUUGAGAAAGCAAACGCCUCUUCGAUUUCUGAAGCUCCGUCGAGUGCAGAUUUUUAUAGAGGCUGGCAUUAAGUUCCAAAGCACACUUGAAUCUCCACCAGUAGAAGCUCCAUUCUUGCACUUCUAAGAUCUUGAUUUGUCCGACCUCUUCUCUCUUCAACACCUUUGAAAAUGUCUGGCCCCCUCCGACCGUCGUUUUGACUUGAACCUUGUUGAAGAGGCAGCCACGCCUUCUCCAAACAACAUAUGGCGCCCAUCCUUCGUCUCCCCUACUGGUCCUCUUACCGUUGGGGAUUCCGUGAUGAAGAAUGAUAUGACCGCUGCGGUAGUGGCCAGGAACCUUCUCACUCCCAAAGAUAACAGACUACUUUCCAAACGGUCUGAUGAGUUGGCUGUUAAGGAUUCUCUGGCUCUCAGUGUUCAGUGUGCAGGUUCUGUGUCUAACAUGGCCCAACGCCUAUUUGCUCGAACCCGCCAAGUUGAAUCAUUGGCGGCUGAAGUGAUGAGUCUCAAACAGGAGAUUAGAGGGCUCAAGCAUGAGAAUAAACAGUUGCACCGGCUCGCACAUGACUAUGCUACAAACAUGAAGAGGAAGCUUGACCAGAUGAAGGAAUCUGAUGGUCAGGUUUUACUUGAUCAUCAGAGAUUUGUGGGUUUGUUCCAAAGGCAUUUAUUGCCUUCGUCUUCUGGGGCUGUACCGCGUAAUGAAGCUCCAAAUGAUCAACCUCUGCUGCCUCCUCCUUCUAGGGUUCUGUCCAGUACUGAGGCUCCAAAUGAUCCCCCUCCAGUGCCUGCUCUUUCUGGGGCUCUACCGACUGCUGAGACUUCUCCUAAGCAACCUUUGUGAAGGCUCCCUCUUGUUUGUUUAUUUUGACUCAUGUAUAUGUACAUAUUUGUAACUUAUCGGGGAUAUCAAUAAAUAAGCUUUCCUUCAUUUCAACGUAUUGUGUUAAAUACACCAAAGCCUUCUUCGCUAAGUUCUUUGAAUUUUCUUUUUGUUGAAGCUUGUAUGUUGAAGCUUUGUGAGUGGAGCAUGUAGGUUGAGGUAGUAUUCCCUUAAUUUCCCGAGUGAGGAAAACUUCUCGGUUGGAGACUUGGAAAAUCCAAGUCACUGAGUGGGAUCGGCUAUAUGAAUCUUUGAACGCCAUUGUGCUCGGUCCUGUCAUGUCCUCCGUUAGAUCCAAGUACUCUAAGUCUUUUCUUAGAGUCUCUUCCAAAGUUUUCCUAGGUCUUCCUCUACCCCUUCGGCCCUGAACCUCUGUCCCAUAGUCGCAUCUUCUAAUCGGAGCGUCAGUAGGCCUUCUUUGCACAUGUCCAAACCACCGUAACCGAUUUUCUCUCAUCUUUCCUUCAAUUUCGGCUACUCCUACUUUACCCCGGAUAUCCUCAUUCCUAAUCUUAUCCUUUCUUGUGUGCCCACACAUCCAACGAAGCAUCCUCAUCUCCGCUACACCCAUUUUGUGUACGUGUUGAUGCUUCACCGCCCAACAUUCUGUGCCAUACAGCAUCGCCGGCCUUAUUGCCGUCCUAUAAAAUUUUCCCUUGAGCUUCAGUGGCAUACGGCGGUCACACACAACACGCCGGAUGCACUCUUCCACUUCAUCCAUCCAGCUUGUAUUCUAUGGUUGAGAUCUCCAUCUAAUUCUCCGUUCUUUUGCAAGAUAGAUCCUAGGUAACGAAAACGGUCGCUCUUUGGUAUUUCUUGAUCUCCGAUCCUCACCCCUAACUCGUUUUGGCCUCCAUUUGCACUGAACUUGCACUCCAUAUAUUCUGUCUUUGAUCGGCUUAGGCGAAAGACCUUUAGAUUCCAACACUUCUCUCCAAAGGUUAAGCUUUGCAUUUACCCCUUCCUGAGUUUCAUCUAUCAACACUAUAUCGUCUGCGAAAAGCAUACACCAAGGAAUAUCAUCUUGAAUAUGUCCUGUUAACUCAUCCAUUACCAACGCAAAAAGGUAAGGACUUAAGGAUGAGCCUUGAUGUAAUCCUACAGUUAUGGGAAAGCUUUCGGUUUGUCCUUCAUGAGUUCUUACGGCAGUCUUUGCUCCUUCAUACAUAUCCUUUAUAGCUUGGAUAUAUGCUACUCGUACUCCUUUUCUUCUCUAAAAUCCUCCAAAGAAUGUCUCUUGGGACCCUAUCAUACGCUUUUUUCCAAAUCUAUAAAGACCAUGUGUAAAUCCUUUUUCCCAUCUCUAUAUCUUUCCAUCAAUCUUCGUAAGAGAUAGAUUGCCUCCAUGGUUGAGCGCCCUGGCAUGAACCCGAAUUGGUUGUCCGAAACCCGUGUCUCUUGCCUCAUCUAUGCUCAAUGACUCUCUCCCAGAGCUUCAUUGUAUGACUCAUUAGCUUAAUACCCCUAUAGUUCAUGCAAUUUUGUACGUCGCCCUUAUUCUUGUAGAUAGGCACCAAAGUGCUCGUUUCGCCACUCAUUUGGCAUCUUCUUCGUUUUCAAAAUCCUAUUGAAAAGGUCAGUGAGCCAUGUUAUACCUGUCUCUCCCAAAACUUUCCACACUUCGAUUGGUAUAUCGUCUGGGCCCACUGCUUUUCUAUGCUUCAUCUUCUUCAAAGCUACAACCACUUCUUCCUUCCGGAUUCGACGAUAAAAAGAGUAGUUUCUACACUCUUCUGAGUUACUCAACUCCCCUAAAGAAGCACUCAUUUCAUGUCCUUCAUUGAAAAGAUUAUGAAAAUAACCUCUCCAUCUGUCUUUAACCGCGUUUCUCUGUAGCAAGAACCUUUCCAUCCUCAUCCUUGAUGCACCUCACUUGGUUUAGGUCCCUUGUCUUCUUUUCCCUUGCUCUAGCUAGUUUAUAGAUAUCCAACUCUCCUUCUUUGGUAUCUAGUCGCUUAUACAUAUCGUCAUAAGCCGCUAACUUAGCUUCUCUCACAGCUUUCUUCGCCUCUUGCUUCGCUUUUCUAUACCUUUCACCAUUUUCAUCGGUCCUAUCCUUGUAUAAGGCUUUACAACAUUCCUUCUUAGCCUUCACCUUUGUUUGUACCUCCUCAUUCCACCACCAAGAUUCCUUUUGGUGUGGGGCAAAGCCCUUGGACUCUCCUAAUACCUCUUUUGCUACUUUUCGGAUACAACUAGCCAUGGAAUCCCACAUUUGGCUAGCUUCCCCCUCUCUAUCCCACACACACUGGGUGAUUACUUUCUCUUUGAAAAUGACUUGUUUUUUCUUCUUUUAGAUUCCACCAUCUAGUCCUUGGGCACUUCCAAGUCUUGUUCUUUUUUCUCACUCUUUUGAUAUGUACAUCCAUCACCAACAAGCGAUGUUGAUUAGCCAAGCUCUCUCCUGGUAUAACUUUGCAAUCCUUACAAGUUAUACGAUCCCCUUUCCUCAUUAGAAGAAAAUCUAUUUGUGUUUUUGACGACCCACUCUUGUAGGUGAUCACAUGUUCUUCUCUCUCUUCUUAAAGAAGGUGUUGGCUAAGAAGAGAGAUCAUAUGCCAUUGCAAAAUCCAAGAUAGCUUCCCCAUCCUCGUUUCUCUCCCCAAAACCAUGGCCACCAUGAAAACCUCCAUAGUUGCCUGUCUCCCUGCCCACGUGUCCAUUUAAAUCUCCUCCUAUAAAUAACUUCUCCGUCUGAGCAAUUCCUUGCACCAAGUCUCCAAGGUCUUCCCAAAAUUUCUCCUUCGAACUCGUAUCCAACCCUACUUGAGGUGCGUACGCACUAAUCACAUUGAUAAGUUCUUGUCCUAUUACAAUCUUGAUUGCCAUGAUUCUAUCUCCUACCCUCUUGACAUCUACAACAUCUUGUGUCAAGGUCUUGUCCACGAUGAUGCCAACACCGUUUCUCGUUCUAUUUGUGCCCGAAUACCAAAGUUUAAACCCUGAGUUUUCUAGAUCCUUUGCCUUAAGACCAACCCACUUAGUUUCUUGUAGGCACAUAAUAUUUAUCCUUCUCCUCACCAUAACUUCCACUACUUCCAUAGAUUUUCCCGUUAAGGUUCCUAUAUUCCACGUUCCUAAACGCAUUUUGCUCUCUUGAACUCUACCCUUCUGUCCUAGCUUCUUCACCCUCCCCCAUCUAAUAGGAUCAAAGUACUUCUUUUGUGUGUUCCGUGUAAAGUUGAUAGGAGCAUAUGCUUCUAAACAACUUUGAGUGGAGUCGUUCGAAAAGAAGUUUCUAUGGCCCCCUUGCUCAUUUAACACUGCAUCCGGGUGCCGAUGGAGAUACAACGACCCUUGCUCACUUAUCACUGUGCUCGGGCCACACAGCGCGCCACUUACUGGUGACACCCUAGCUUUAGCGCAAUUUCGUUCUGGAUUCAUUUUCAUAAGGAUUCGACGUAAUCAUGGAGUGCCGGCUGUCGACUACCUGACGCCCUCCCCCUCCUCCUUUAUCCAGGCUUAGGACCGGCAAUGUAAGAUAAACUUACACAGGCGGAGUUAACGGAACACGCUAGAACUGAAACAUUAAAAACAACAUGUACCCAUUUCAAAGACCAAAAAUCCUGCAAGGACAAAAAAAAAAUCCGAGAAAAUCAGUACAUCAGUACUCCCUGCAAAACCCCAAAAUCAGAAAAUUAGAAAAAGAACCCAAAUCAGUGGCAUGGUCCUUGUUUCUCCAUUAAUCAGUAGGUAAUGACCUAAUGAAAAAGAACCCAAAACAGACGGCUUAAAUUAUGGAAAGUGCUUAUAAAGCUCAUGAAUAACUUUCAAAGCCUGCAUUCCACAGUGUGCACACGCACAAACAUAAAAUAUACAUGCAUAGUUAAUUUUAGACAAUAAUACCUCAGAACAUAAGUUGCAAUUUGGGACUAUUUGGUUGACUCAAAAGAAAUUGAUGGGUUAGAAAACCACAAAAAAAAUACAAAGACGGAUGUUUUUAUGUCGUUCAUUUCUUACGUCGACAAAACACACACACCUGUGUUUUAAUGCUCCUCCAAUACUCAAUGAGAAGGCACCAGGCAAAAAGAAGGUCAAGGCUGGAAAGAAGCUUCCAAAGAGAACAAUAUAUAAAGCAGACCACAAAAAUUAGACAAAACCCAAAAACUAAACAGUAGAAAAACCUCUAAAAUAUAUAAAUAUAUAUAUAAUUAAAUAAUUUAAAAAAAAACUAAACUGCAAAUACUCUAGAAAUCGUAAAAUGAACUGCAAACCCGUCAAUCAUUUCCCAAAACCACAUAACCAAAGAGUAAAAAAGGGAGUACGGGAGAGAGAAGCAGCCAAAAUACAGAGAAGAUGGCAAGAGAGAGAGAGAGAGAGAGAAAAAUGAAUUAUUUUGGUGCCUCUGGUUCCUGCCUUUGUUCUUUGUUUUUCAUUUAUUUAUAGGUAACUUGCUCAAGUCCAAAGGCAAUUAAACAUGAUUAGUAAAGCACCAUAAUAAAGCAUGAGAGAUAUCUAUUUUAAUUAAAUCUGUUGUGGGCUCACUGUGAUUGUACAUCAUCAUCAUAAAUAAUGCAUGCUUGAACCCCAUUUUAGUUUCAUGCCUAUCAUAAUUAAAUCAUGGAUGGUCAAGAAGCAUAGGACUGAGAAAUCAGAGCCUAAUUUCCAAUAUCAAAAGAGUACAAAUUAUUCAACUUAAACGCUAAUUUCGUUAACGAAGAUUAAAAUAGGCGUGAAAUCCAUACAAUUUAUACGUUACCAUUGAUUCAAGUUCUGGUAGGUAUCCAUGGAAACUAUCCGUUGCCACUCUCUCAGUUCCCAUAUUUUCUGUAUGUUUCAUUAAACAAUAUAAACUUUUGAUGCUCUUCCAUCUGGAGCUAAAACAGAUUACCAAUAAUAACAAAGAGGUCUAAAUAAUAGAAAUCAAAAUUUUGAUUUUUGCGGACUUUAGAGAAUCUGCAAACUUUAGCCUAACAUUAUGUGAUUGCCUCACUUCUUCAGUAACUCAGAGGAGGUGAAUUACUCAAAGUAUGGAGGACUUCUGCUAACAUAUUUCAAGCACUUGUAACAUUAAAUGUAAUGACAGGUUGACAUUAUUAUUAUUUUUUUUUUGUAAAGAAUUGUUGCAAGAAGUUUGACCCUUUGUCUUUUUAUUUCUGUAAGGAUUUAUAGGUACAUAUAAAAUCCAUAUUAUAUAUGGUUCACAGAUGAGAGUACUUCAAACACCAAAUAUUCAUUCAUGAUUGGAGAUAAGAAAGCUUACUAAGAGGCAAUCGCCUUUGUGAUGUUUACUUUUGUGCUUAUCCUUUGUCUUCUUUUCUGAGGCAAAAUAUGUCAAUGUGAUAAGUAAUUUCCCAUAAAGAAUAUCAUCCUCAAUAGGCUAAACAACUACAAUGGUUAGUCAAAUAAUGUACUUUCAUGUAGUUAAUCUCCUCGGUUUGUGUUUACUUUUUCAAUAUCAAAACAUCUCGAAGAAACAACGUUUUCCCUUACUCUACAAACACCGAAUGUGCCCGAUAAACCACUAACAACGCCAUUACUCUAAUUCGACUGCAGAGUGAGAGUUAAGAUAAGAAGAUACUCACAGGCCAAAACGGAUGACAUCACCAACACAUAAAUCCAAAAGCCACAACCAAAUUUAAUUUUGUUUUUACGUUGAAUUUUUUUUUCUUGAAUCCGUUUGGAUGCUGAGAACGUGUGGUAUGGGAUUAUUAAUUACCGGCAGGGAAAAUGACGAUUUCUCCUAUUUGCAUUUGCAGGUGGAGGAAUCAUAGCCGAGGGAUUGCAGUUCGUCGGUGACCAUCUUCCUCAAAUCGUCUUUUUGUUUGAGAUUCUUGUUUGCUUCGACGAUCCUCGCCGUAUCAGCCAGGAGGUUUCUCUCCGAGACGCUCACGCAUGGAAUCAGACUCUGAUUAAACAAUAAUUAAGCAAACAAUCAAUCACCCAUAUUCAUAUUCUGUGUUUGGUUGCCAAGAAACCGCGAGAAAUGCAAAAACAAUUUACUAAUAAAAAAGUGUAAUCAAAGCAACCAUUAUUUAUACUUUUGUACCUUAAGAAUAUCUGAGGCGUCGCCACCGAACGAACCGGAGGAGAUUGAAUCACCGAAACCUCCACCGAAUAUAUCGAACUCGUCGUCGGAGCUGUCAUUGCUGUUGCCGUGAAAGCAAUUGCAGCGGUUCCGUCCACAUUUCGGCGGAGGUUGCUUCUCGUUGCUUUCUUCGAUGAAAUUCUGAACCAUCUUCGCCAAGCAGACCGAACUUGGCUUGAACUCAGGCCGCGGCGCUGACGGUCCCUUCAUCCUUGCUGAUAUUGAGGCCGCAGGAGUGGCGAGUUGUGAUGUGGACUCAGGCCUCUCGGCCUCUGGGUUUUACGGAGAAGGGGAAGAUGGUGAGGGUUGAGAGAGAUGCAGAGUCUGAAAGAGAGUGAAAGAGAAAGGGUUAUAAGAGAG